UACGUAGGGUGCGAGCGUUGUCCGGAAUUACUGGGCGUAAAGAGCUCGUAGGUGGUUUGUCGCGUUGUUCGUGAAAACUCACAGCUCAACUGUGGGCGUGCGGGCGAUACGGGCAGACUAGAGUACUGCAGGGGAGACUGGAAUUCCUGGUGUAGCGGUGAAAUGCGCAGAUAUCAGGAGGAACACCGGCGGUGUAGACGGCUUUCUGGACCGUAGCUGACGCUGAGACACGAAAGCGUGGGUAGCAAACAGG
rnacentral:rRNA from 1 species